UCAUCCGAAAUCAUUGGAAGCUCCCACGCUCUAUUUGAAAUUUGAAACCUUUGUAGCAGUUCAGGGAGUUGAAGACCAUGUCUCCUGUGUAGAGGCAGUUAUCAGAGACGACAACGGGGGAGCGGUUUUUUAACCUACUACAUACAGUUUUCAUAUCUUCCUAGCCCUAUAUACAACCCCCACGUCUACCCUCAUCUCAAGCCCUUCUGCAGAUGUUUCUAAUUUCCUUUCAUUUUCACAUGGAGACACUUUCUAAUUAUGCCCUAAUCGCCGAUCAACAACAACACACUCCGUACGCCAUUGCAUCUUCCACCCCUCACCAAAAUGGUUGAAUAAUAAUUUUGAAAGGCUGAAGUGAAGAACCCUCUGGUAGGCAUUUUUUAUUGCAAUAAUUCUCCAAAAUUACUGCCUCAGAAGCUUCAAAUCGAUGUCAUCGUCUGAUGAGUUUGUUCAUUUUAAUCCCUUGUUGUGCAGAGUAGGGCUUUAAGAUACAAUGGUCGAAUUAUUCGACCCUAGAAAGAUGGUCACGGAUUAUGACUGUUCUGCUGAAGAGGAUUACUGCGACCACUGCGACUUUGCUUUCACUUUUGCCUUCAACGAUCCCAAUUUCUCCGAUCGUGUUCUUGGCAUCCAUAUUUUAACUGCGCCGAUCGAGUCUACACCAGAAAUAUAGAAAAAGAAACUCAAAAUUUAAAGGAUAUGACAGCUCGAAUUAUCUCCAAAAAAAUGGCACUGAUUCUAACCGAAAGUUUUGGUAGCCAUAUGCAAGAAGCAAGACCUUAGAUUUCGUCCACAAGCUCUUUUCAAACGGGAUGAGUGAGUCAACACAACGCUUUGUAACCUUGCAAAUCAAUGCUUCAGAGGAAGGUGCCUUCAUGGAACUACUCAACUUUAUGUAUAGCAGUAAAUAGACAGUUACAACUUCUCCAGAUGUGCUUGAUGUGCUAAAAGUUGCUGACAAAUUUAUGCUGACAAUGUUCUGAUCAAAACAACAGAUGUUGGUUCAGCAGGGAGCGAGCACUAUUUGAGCACUAUAAAAUUCAUUGAUGCUGUAGCAAACUAGCUGAAGUCAAGGCUUGUGGGGAAAUCAUCACUGCAUUUGUAUCUUUCAGGGCUGUGCUAUUGGUCUACUAAUUGCUUUGCUGCGACUUCUUGGUGGAAACAAUGGGAUUUUACAAGGGAUGGUCUCCAUGAGAAGAGUGUUAUAUUGUUCAAGGGGUAUAAGUGUAACAUUUAGUGUUAAAGUGGUAUAUGGUUAAAACUUGAAGGGUUAAGGUGAAAGAUUGCUUUUGGCUGGAUAUAAAAGCAAGUUCAACAGUUGUAGAGAUCAGUUGUUCCGGAAGCAUCUUUGGCAUCUUCUCUCUCUCUCUCUCAUCAGACACUCAGGCGAUUAGGGUUUGAGCUUUUGUUACAGAUCGUUUGUGAUCUCUGGUUUAUUGUUUGAUCUCGUGUGAGAUCCUGUUGUAUUGUUCUGUAUAGAUCAACUGAUAUUCAUCAGUUGAUCAUAUUCUUUCUUGUAUUUGUUAAAGAUCUCACUAUUGGUGAGAUCUAGGGUUUCUGGUGGGUGUUUUUCUGGUUUGGGUAAAUAAUAAAAGUUUUGUCACCGUUUUGUCGCUA